rnacentral:misc_RNA from 1 species
AACGCACGAGACCUGCGGACCUGCGGAGGGAUCAUUAAUGAGAAACUGCCCCUCGCGGGUAGAUCUCCCACCCUUUGUAAACUUACCUUUGUUGCUUUGGCAGGCCCGUCUCCGGACCGCCGGCUUCGGCUGGCCAGUGCCUGCCAGAGGAUUCUAAAACUCUGUCUGUCAGUGUUGUCUGAGUCUAUAUACAAUCGUUAAAACUUUUAACAAUGGAUCUCUAGAUCGGAAGAGACACGU